rnacentral:rRNA from 1 species
GACGAACGCUGGCGGCGUGCCUAAUACAUGCAAGUCGAACGAGUGGCGGACGGGUGAGUAACACGUGGGAACCUACCCAUCAGAGGGGGAUAACACUUGGUAACUGGUGCUAAUACCGCAUACUGAUGGAUGGACUCGGGGUGCAUUAGCUAGAUGGUGAGGUAACGGCUAACCAAGUCGACGAUGCCUAGCCGGUCUGAGAGGGUGAUCAGCCACACUGGAACUGAGACACGGCCCAGACGCCUACGGGAGGCAGCAGUGGGGAAUAUUGCACAAUGGGCGCAAGCCUGAUGCAGCCAUGCCGCGUGUAUGAAGAAGGCCUUAGGGUUGUAAAGUACUUUCAGCGGGGAGGCGUUACCCGCAGAAGAAGCACCGGCUAACUCCGUGCCAGCAGCCGCGGUAAUAC